rfam:Otolemur garnettii contig115324, whole genome shotgun sequence.
ACCAGACAUGGUGGCACACACCUGUAGUCCCAGCUACUUGGGAGGCUGAGACAGGAGAAUCGCUUGAGUUCAGGAGUUCUGGGCUGUAGUGCAAUCCACUGAUCAGGUGUCUGCACUAAGUUCAGCAUCAAUAUGGUGACCUCCUGAGAGUGGGGGCCACCAGGUUUCCCACGGAGGGGUGAACUGGCCCAGGUAGGAAAUGGAGCAGGUCAAAACUCCCAUGCUGAUCAGUAGUGGGAUGGUGCCUGUGAAUAGCCACUGCACUCCAGCGUGUGCAACAUAGUGAGACCCUGUCUCAA